rnacentral:rRNA from 1 species
UGGGGAAUAUUGGACAAUGGGCGAAAGCCUGAUCCAGCAAUGCCGCGUGUGUGAAGAAGGCCUUCGGGUUGUAAAGCACUUUAAGUUGGGAAGAAAAAGCUCUGGCUAAUAUCUAGAGCCUUGACGGUACCAACAGAAUAAGCACCGGCUAACUCUGUGCCAGCAGCCGCGGUAAUACAGAGGGUGCUAGCGUUAAUCGGAUUUACUGGGCGUAAAGCGUGCGUAGGCGGUUUGAUAAGUCGAUUGUGAAAGCCCCGGGCUUAACCUGGGAAUUGCAGUUGAUACUGUCAGACUAGAAAACGGUAGAGGGAGGCGGAACUCCAGGUGUAGCGGUGAAAUGCGUAGAUAUCUGGAAGAACACCGAUGGCGAAGGCAACCUCCUGGGCCCUGUUUUGACGCUGAGGCACGAAAAGCGUGGGGUAGCAAACAGGAUUAGAUACCCUGGUAGUCCACGCCGUAAAACGAUGAGAACUUUGACGUUUGGUUUUGCUUAGCAAAAUCGGUGUCGUGCUAAACGCGAUAAGUUCUCCGCCU